GAUGAACGCCGGCGGUGUGCCUAAUACAUGCAAGUCGAGCGAGCGGAACUAACAGAUUUACUUCGGUAAUGACGUUAGGAAAGCGAGCGGCGGAUGGGUGAGUAACACGUGGGGAACCUGCCCCAUAGUCUGGGAUACCACUUGGAAACAGGUGCUAAUACCGGAUAAGAAAGCAGAUCGCAUGAUCAGCUUUUAAAAGGCGGCGUAAGCUGUCGCUAUGGGAUGGCCCCGCGGUGCAUUAGCUAGUUGGUAAGGUAAAGGCUUACCAAGGCGAUGAUGCAUAGCCGAGUUGAGAGACUGAUCGGCCACAUUGGGACUGAGACACGGCCCAAACUCCUACGGGAGGCAGCAGUAGGGAAUCUUCCACAAUGGACGCAAGUCUGAUGGAGCAACGCCGCGUGAGUGAAGAAGGUUUUCGGAUCGUAAAGCUCUGUUGUUGGUGAAGAAGGAUAGAGGUAGUAACUGGCCUUUAUUUGACGGUAAUCAACCAGAAAGUCACGGCUAACUACGUGCCAGCAGCCGCGGUAAUACGUAGGUGGCAAGCGUUGUCCGGAUUUAUUGGGCGUAAAGCGAGCGCAGGCGGAAGAAUAAGUCUGAUGUGAAAGCCCUCGGCUUAACCGAGGAACUGCAUCGGAAACUGUUUUUUCUUGAGUGCAGAAGAGGAGAGUGGAACUCCAUGUGUAGCGGUGAAAUGCGUAGAUAUAUGGAAGAACACCAGUGGCGAAGGCGGCUCUCUGGUCUGCAACUGACGCUGAGGCUCGAAAGCAUGGGUAGCGAACAGG
rnacentral:rRNA from 1 species